GACGAACGCUGGCGGCGUGCUUAACACAUGCAAGUCGAGCGGUAAGGCCCUUUCGGGGGUACACGAGCGGCGAACGGGUGAGUAACACGUGGGUGACCUGCCCUUAGCUCUGGGAUAAGCCUGGGAAACUGGGUCUAAUACCGGAUAUGACUCCAUAACGCAUGUUGUGGGGUGGAAAGCCUUGUGCGGCCAGGGAUGGGCCCGCGGCCUAUCAGCUUGUUGGUGGGGUGAUGGCCUACCAAGGCGACGACGGGUAGCCGGCCUGAGAGGGCGACCGGCCACACUGGGACUGAGACACGGCCCAGACUCCUACGGGAGGCAGCAGUGGGGAAUCUUGCGCAAUGGGCGAAAGCCUGACGCAGCGACGCCGCGUGGGGA
rnacentral:rRNA from 1 species